rnacentral:sRNA from 1 species
UUUUUCACUUGCAGAGCGAAAGUGCUGGAGUGCUCCGCCAAGGAGGAUCAAAACGUGACUGACCUCUUCAAAACGUUGCUGUCACUAUCGCGAUUUCUGCCCGUCGGGAGCAAUAAUGAUGGCACAAGUGGACUCAAGCGACGCUCUUCGGCAUAUGUCAGCGCAUCGUCAAGUAGAAACAAGAAUCGCAAUGCCAGUCCUUCCGUUUCCGGUGAUAAAAAGUCCAGCUUGGUCGAAGCUGUUGAUCCAGCCACCAGCAGCGGCGAUGCCAAGCUAAAGCCCAGAUCUAGGUCACUCAUACGCCGUGCUUCACGCAAAACCAAACAGCAAAUCAACAACGCGUCCGAUGACUGUAAUUUGCAAUAAAGCAGC